UUCGUCUAUGCGCGAUUGUAUAGAAAUUUGGUUUAACUUUUGUGGCUUAGAUAUGAUCCAAAUCAAGGACACUGCCAGGUGGGGAGUUUGACUGGG
rnacentral:rRNA from 1 species